rnacentral:lncRNA from 1 species
GGCCCUGCUCCCGCCCGCCCGUUUCUGCCGCUAUCGUUGCUGCAGUCUGUUGCCUCAGCUCAUCGUGGCCGCCUAGCUGCCUGAUAGAACCCGGAGUAGACGGUUUCAGCACAGUCUCAGUCGGAGCUUCAUGUUCCAGGGAACCCCGCGAAACCCGAGCCCGCAGCAGCUCCCGCACCCCCACCCCCACCCUCUGGUUCCUCGCGGCUCCCGUCCAUCGAACCCCCCCCCAUUCCACCCCUCUGCAACCCCCCCUUACACCGCCUGCUCGUCAGUCUGGAGCGAGAGCGCCUCCGUGCGGCGACUGUUACGUUACCGCGGGCCGAUGGCGCCGCCCCCGGCCUCCUCCUCUACCUCCUCCUCCUCCUCCUCCCAGACCGACGAGCCGCUCCCCACUGACCCUGGAACGAUAAGCGAUAAGCGGAGGCGGCUGUUAGUCGGGUUUUCGGGACCCAGGCCUCUCCCUUGCAGGCCACUGCAGCUUCUAGAUCUGGUUUUGUUGGUGGCACUGCUGUGGAAUAUGGGCAUGUUAUCUGACAUGAGGAGAGAGACCUAUUGGAGAUAGAGCAUUCUCUUUCUUGAGAAUUGCUUGCAGCCAAAUGACUUUUUUACUGACUUAAACCUUACUGAAUCAGUCAGCAUUUCCCCAACACGAUGGCAUUAAUGUUCCUGACCAGCAGAUGGUAGCAACACAUUGGAUAUACAUUUAAUCCAAAGAGUCAUCAUUUGCUAUCUGCAACAUGAAUUACUUGAGAAGCCAGGCUCUUUGCAUUACUUCAUUUUGCUGGGUUUUUUGGUUUUUUCUUUGUUUUUGUUUUUAAACCCUUACCUUCCAUCUUAGAAUCAGUACUGUGUAUUGGUUCCAAGGCAAAAGAGUGGUAAGGGCUAGGCAAUGGGGGUUAAGUGACUUGCCCAGGGUCACACCAAUAGGAAGUAUCUGAGGUCACAUUUUAAUCUAGGACUUUCUUUCUCUGGGCCUGGCUCUCAAUUCACUGGGCCAGCCCCCAUUUUGUUGUUUAUAAGUAAAAAAAAAAACACUGUAUAUGUUUGGGAGGUACAUACUACACUACUGAGGUUUGCGCAGAAGGAACCUUUAAAAAAAACCCAACAUGGUUCCUCUACAGAUUCCAACUCCUAUACCUCAUCGGCAACAUUGGGUCCUGAGGCUGGGGAUAGCACUAGGAGAAAGCCAGGCUCAAGAAGAAGGAAUGAGAUUUAUGGACCAAAGAUCUGUGGAUUCACAGAGCCCACAUCUAUGCCAUGACACUGACAAAACUAGUAGUACUGAACACAGUGAGCACUAAGCACCAUCAAGAAUGAACACAUUAGAUUUAAUGAACAGGAAUAGACUUGUUAUUGAUGUAGGAGUCAUCUCUGAGUCAGCUACCUGUACAAUCAGACCACUGACUCAUCAGGGCAAUAAUGAGUUGCUGCUUUAAAAAAAAAAAGAUUAAGAAAGAAAAGAAAAAUAACGAGAAAAGUCUAUGGCUAUGGCAUACAAUUUAAAUGACCAAAUGGUAAAUGGAUAAAAGAAAUGACUAUGACGUUGACCAUAAGUUUCUUCC